GUUACCAUGGAGACGGUGAGGCUCCGGGGCCUAGCUGGCGCCGGUCUGCCUCGUCCAGCCUGCACUGCGCUCCCCUGGCCUGGAGGUCCUGUUGGGGGGCAUCCUCGUCCCCCCGACCCAGACCGCCCCCACCCCCGUGCAUGGGGCAGCAUCACAGUGACUUCACACCUCAUGACAUCACAGUCCCACGGGGUGACAUCACAGAACGACAGGGAGACACCAAGCGGCUGGGUGGCAUCAUCUCUGUACAACCCUGCACCGUGCAGCAAGACAUACCCCCGGCGCAGGUAGGAAAAAAGCUCUCUGCACCCACAAGCAACGGCAGACCUUCUAUUCAGCUCAGACACCAGCGGCACUAAGAGAUACCUGAGAGGGCACCGUGGGCAUUAGCAUGCAAAUCAGCUCAGCAAGCGCUGGAUUCCUGCCACAGAACAACGCACCUGUGAAACUCAGCAGAAAACAAGGAGGGAGACGAAUGUGUGGCAGCCGACACUUGGAAAUGAACUGGAGACCUCUAGAACUGAAUAUAUUAGCUCAAGCUGUUAGAGACUCGAGAACCAGGCACUCUGGGAUGUAAGAUUCACAUCUGUGAAACAGGACCAGCGGGGAGAUGUCUAACAUGCUGACCAGUGGGUUACACAUAUACUCCUGGGCAAAAACUACUGAUGGCUGCUGGAUGCUGCUAUUGCUCAUUGGCAGAGCCAGCUUGGACAAUCCCUGCAGGAAGCACAAGUGCAGCAAGUUUGCAAAUGGGACUCAGAAGUUAGCCCGAGGCACAAAACCCUGGAUUGAAAUAAGCAGCCAACAACACCUCUGGAAAAGGGCUUAGCUAUAAGGAAGCUCUGGUUCAGAGCUGGCUAUUAGGUUAUUGUGGGCCACAUUCUUGAUGCUGUUUAUAGUUAUUUAGAGUAACACCUUUGCUGUGUGUCUUUCUUUGGGAUAUUUUUCGGUCCUUUCUUUCACCAACGUAGGGAGGAAACAUAAAUUCUAUUUCUUGUACCUCAUUGGGAGGGGAGCACUUUUUUUCUUUAUAAGCCAGCCCAGCCGCUUGGUCUCUGUGCCAGGUCAAAGCCAAAAUGUUUGCACCUGGGACACUUGUUACAUUGAGGACUGAACUGGGAAGCUGUGGAGCUCAAGGCAUGAGCUGUUGUGGGAGUCUUCCAUUGACCUGCUGUAUGACCUUGGGCACCCUUUGUCCUGUCUAUUUAGAUUGUAAGUCUUUGGAGGCCAGGACUCACCAUGUGUCUGGGCAGCACCCAGCACAAUGGGACCGGGCUCUCAGCAUCGUUACUGUAAGACAAAUAAUACUCUCCUGCUCAACUGCCCCCAGAUCCCUACAGAAAACAGCCCCCUUCCUGGUCCAAACACUUGUCUAGAGUUCAUGUUCAUUCUCUGCUUCUCUCCGCAGUAUCCCCAUGGCUGGACAAAGAUCAGGGGGCGGGGGAGACUCUCUCUCAGCAGCCUGUGAGUCAGAAAGUCCAUUAGAGUCCCCAUGUCAGAAAUCCAUACUUGAUUAUAUCACAACACGUGAAACCGAGAAAAAUGACAGCCCCAUUUAAAGCUGCCAUAUUUGGUUACGUGUGAUAGGAAAGACACACAGCCCGGUGGUCGGAUGGGGGCGGGCGGAGGAAGGAUUUGGAACUGAGGUUAAACAGAAAAUAAAAGACAAUGUCAUUAAGCUGUGGGUGGGGGGAGCUGAGAUGUGGAGCCAACUCCUCGGCAGGACAUUUAUUUGUAGUUAUUUGUUAGGAACUCUCUGAUUGGAGCCGUGGAUUAACAUACGUCAGCUGCAGUUCUCCGUGUGCGAGGAAUGGGAAAGGAGAAGAGCAGGUGGGGAUCUGGAGUUGCCUUCGUCUGCUCUGCAAACGGAAUCCUUGAAGGAAAACUACAACGAUUAGCUAUCAUGCCUUCCCCCGCUAAAUAAAUAUUUACUGGUUUAAUUCGUUAAUUGCCACACUGCUCUUAUGCACUACCUUCCUGCAAAGUGGGAAACCCUACCCACUCCGAGGAGGCGGGAGAGGGACCUAAUGCAGGGCACCUGGGGUGACUCUGCUGCUGCUUGAGCAGUGGUGCUGCGGUGGAGAGGGUUUGUGGCGGCUGAAGCUACGGAAUCCAUCUCUGGGGGUUGAGGGUGCUCCCUGCACAGCAGGGUUUGGAAGGAUAGCGAGUGGGGGGGGAAGAGGUAUGCGGAUGGGAUCUGCUGCUAAACAGAUCCACCAGUGAUUGCUCACCACUUCCCCCAGGCAGCUGUGGCACAGGAAAUACUGCAACCGCGGUGGUUCACCAUUGAGUGGUGUUUGUGCAGGGUGUCUGUUGAAGACAGACAGCUGGUCUGAUUAAGCGUGACAAUUCCUAUGUGCUGAUGCUGGCUAUUCUGUGCACUGAUGCUUGAUGAGAUAGCUGAGGAUUUAGCCCUGAGUAACAGACCCACGGCACAACAAUAUUUGCAAAACACUUCUUAGACCUGCAGCAGUUUCAAAUGUUCGUCUAGAUUCAGGGGCAGCAACAGUUAACGCCGCACCCUUAGAGGGCGUUACCUCCCCAAAGCCCUGCACUAAUAUCCUUGCCACUGUUAGGAUAUAGAUAUUCAGGCCUGUCUGCAAAGGCUUAUACUUUAAGAAUUGAGGUGCAUUCUUAUCACUUAGGUAGUUAUAGAGGUAUAGAAGAAAGAAUAAAAAAUCACUGUCUGUCUGUGUAAGGGCCUUCUCUUACUGUGACAGUCUGAGGCCUGGUUCUUUGGCUAAGCAGCAGAGGCAGCCAUAAACUGGG